CCAUUAACUUCCGAAUUAACUUCCAUUAACUCCAUUAACUUCCAAAGUCUGAGAUUUGUCCUUUUACUUAACAUGAAUGGCGUUGAACACGGAUAUAUAACACACAUAUCAUUGAAAUAGCUGUAACAGGCACGGACGUAUUGAUUACCUGAAUGAUUAUGGGAGACCUACGUAAUUUUCAUAAUAUUGUUAAUUGUCUAAUGUUAACAUAUCAGUUGCGUUGGUAGGUAUUUCAUUUUCAUUUGCUUGUUUAGCUAUGUAUGACAGGGUUAUGGUUAGCUAUGUAUGACAGUUGACAAUGUUGGUGUAUUACAAUUCAUUAUUUGGGUAGGCUACUCCAACUUCGUUGCUGGUCGAUAUGUAAACAUUUACUUUUAUAUAAAUUAUUGAUUGCAUUUUUCGUAAAUAGUUAGUUGGAAGGAAUCUGUUUCUUAAGCAAUAACAUUGAACUGAAUUUUUUAGGCCUACAUACGUUUACUAUGUUACUAUGGUAUUAUAUGGAGCAAUCUUACAUAUUUAUGAAGUUUCCAGAUCAAUAAAGUUCUAUCUCUUUUUAUUUGAA